GUUUUCUCUUCAUUUUGCAGGUAUGGCUGACACUUAGAAGAAUCUAAGACCAGAUUCAGAAGAAAGUUUGAGUGCAGUUUUAUUAGAAUUUCAACAAAACAAAACAAAACUGCAGGGCCGGCAAGUUGUAAAUCUCAGCAGCUGUCUGGAGGAGGGAGGUGAAGUAGAAGAGAGAAAGCCACGUUGGAUCUAAACAGCCAGAUGAUGGAGCCAUCUGAGGUGCUCAUGUGCUACAGUGCAUGUUGAAGUCAGAGGACAACAUUUGGAAGUUGAGUCUCUUCUGCUACAUUGUGUGAUCUGUGGAUGAAACUCAGGUCAUAAAGCAUAUGUAAGAGGACACUGGCUGCUCUAGGACUGGAGAUACACAUAGUGGAGCCCAUGGAGGCCAGAAGACAGAUCCCCUGGAGCUGGAAUUAGGUAUGGUUGUGAACUACCAUGUGAGUGCUGGGAACUGAAUGCCGUCCCUUCCAAGAACACUUUCAGAGGGCAGAUAACAGCAUGGGAACCAGAAAACAGACAUACACUGGGGGAAAUGAGGAUGUCAGAAACUUUCCAGAUGGCUUGCAAUGAAUGCAGGUGUGCUUGGACCGCUGCCACUGCGUCUCUUCCUGAAAUGGUAGAGAGGAAAAUGCACUCCUGGUAAACAAAUCCAAUUUUAAAUGUGCCAGAGGAAUAUGCUAGCUAAAGAAAUCCAGCAAGGAAUCUGUUUAUUCAGCAUGUAAGCAUCCCUGUUUUUGACUUUUGCAUUUUUAUUGAGGUUUCUUUGAUUCUUGGAGAGGUUUCAGAGACUGUCACCGUAAACUGUAUUUAAAGUAAGUAUAAGUGCUGAUUUAGAUGGUGUGAGUUAGAUGCCUGUGAAGGAAGAAGAAGAAGAUGUUGUAUUGAUGGUUUAUGGUGUGUACCCGUGAACAUGUCUGGCAGUGACAGAUAACCAUUGUUUCUUGAUGCUCUCUUGUACCAGGCAUGGGUCUGAGUGUUUCUUAUGCAUUGUUUUCCUUUAACUUUCACAUCAGCUCUGCAGCAGAUACUGCUUUGCUCCUCUUACUGCUUAGAGAGGUUAAGUAAUUUGCUCAGGGUCAUAGUAGAGUGGAGAUUGGUUUCUAGGUAGCAGGAAACCCAUAUCUAG
rnacentral:lncRNA from 1 species